rnacentral:rRNA from 1 species
CAGCAGCCACGGUAAUACGUAGGGGGCAAGCGUUAUCCGGAAUAACUGGGCGUAAAGGGUGCGCAGGUGGUUUAACAAGUUAGUGGUGAAAGGCAUAGGCUCAACCAAUGUAAGCCAUUAAAACUGUUUAACUUGAGUGCAGGAGAGGAAAGUGGAAUUCCUAGUGUAGCGGUGAAAUGCGUAGAUAUUAGGAGGGAUACCAGUGGCGAAGGCGACUUUCUGGACUGCAACUGACACUGAGGCUCGAAAGCGUGGGGAGCAAACAGGAUUAGAUACCCCAGUAGUCCCUGUCUCUUAUACA